rnacentral:rRNA from 1 species
GAUGAACGCUGGCGGCGUGCCUAAUACAUGCAAGUCGAGCGAACGGACGAGAAGCUUGCUUCUCUGAUGUUAGCGGCGGACGGGUGAAUAACACGUGGAUAACCUACCUAUAAGACUGGGAUAACUUCGGGAAACCGGAGCUAAUACCGGAUAAUAUUUUGAACCGCAUGGUUCAAAAGUGAAAGACGGUCUUGCUGUCACUUAUAGAUGGAUCCGCGCUGCAUUAGCUAGUUGGUAAGGUAACGGCUUACCAAGGCAACGAUGCAUAGCCGACCUGAGAGGGUGAUCGGCCACACUGGAACUGAGACACGGUCCAGACUCCUACGGGAGGCAGCAGUAGGGAAUCUUCCGCAAUGGGCGAAAGCCUGACGGAGCAACGCCGCGUGAGUGAUGAAGGUCUUCGGAUCGUAAAACUCUGUUAUUAGGGAAGAACAUAUGUGUAAGUAACUGUGCACAUCUUGACGGUACCUAAUCAGAAAGCCACGGCUAACUACGUGCCAGCAGCCGCGGUAAUACGUAGGUGGCAAGCGUUAUCCGGAAUUAUUGGGCGUAAAGCGCGCGUAGGCGGUUUUUUAAGUCUGAUGUGAAAGCCCACGGCUCAACCGUGGAGGGUCAUUGGAAACUGGAAAACUUGAGUGCAGAAGAGGAAAGUGGAAUUCCAUGUGUAGCGGUGAAAUGCGCAGAGAUAUGGAGGAACACCAGUGGCGAAGGCGACUUUCUGGUCUGUAACUGACGCUGAUGUGCGAAAGCGUGGGGAUCAAACAGGAUUAGAUACCCUGGUAGUCCACGCCGUAAACGAUGAGUGCUAAGUGUUAGGGGGUUUCCGCCCCUUAGUGCUGCAGCUAACGCAUUAAGCACUCCGCCUGGGGAGUACGACCGCAAGGUUGAAACUCAAAGGAAUUGACGGGGACCCGCACAAGCGGUGGAGCAUGUGGUUUAAUUCGAAGCAACGCGAAGAACCUUACCAAAUCUUGACAUCCUUUGACAACUCUAGAGAUAGAGCCUUCCCCUUCGGGGGACAAAGUGACAGGUGGUGCAUGGUUGUCGUCAGCUCGUGUCGUGAGAUGUUGGGUUAAGUCCCGCAACGAGCGCAACCCUUAAGCUUAGUUGCCAUCAUUAAGUUGGGCACUCUAAGUUGACUGCCGGUGACAAACCGGAGGAAGGUGGGGAUGACGUCAAAUCAUCAUGCCCCUUAUGAUUUGGGCUACACACGUGCUACAAUGGACAAUACAAAGGGCAGCGAAACCGCGAGGUCAAGCAAAUCCCAUAAAGUUGUUCUCAGUUCGGAUUGUAGUCUGCAACUCGACUACAUGAAGCUGGAAUCGCUAGUAAUCGUAGAUCAGCAUGCUACGGUGAAUACGUUCCCGGGUCU